rnacentral:lncRNA from 1 species
GCAGGCUCACCUUAAAAUCUGGGGGGAAAAUCAACUUAAAACUAGAGGCUAAGUUACAAACAGAAAUGAAGCCAAGUUGUGAUCACGAUGACUCACACAGGUUAAAAGAUCUGUUGCUCCACUCAGCAUUAUGGACCCAGGAAAUCAGCAACUAAGGAACAACUGCAAACUUUGAAGUCAGUAAGGACCCAGGAAAUUAGAAGCUAAGGGAUCGUGACCUUUGAAGUAAAUAAAUCUUGCCUGUAUACUAAUUUCAGAGGAUAAAAAC